rnacentral:misc_RNA from 1 species
AUUAAAUCUAUAUGCCAUGCCAAAAGCACAUAUAUAUACAUAUGGACUCCUCAAUAUCAGUUAAUGACCACGAAUUUAGCACGAAGCUCUAAGAGCAGUGGCUCUGCUCUUAAGCAGCUCAAUAUUUAUUUAUAAAAUUGCCAUACAAUAAUAAAGCUAAUGCAAAUCAGAGAAUUCAUAUCUCCAUUUCAUCUUUUGAUAGUCGUAUAGACAUUCGCUAUAAAAAAGAACAUAAGAAAAAUUCACAGAAAGGAACAAUCAUAAAAGCACACAUUACUCCUAAAAAGUACUAGUUUCCACUCUAGGUUCUCUGAUUGUUGACUUCAUUUCUUAUUCAAUCCUGUAUCAAUUAUAAGGAAACAAAUUCAGUGACAAUAGUGACCAAACCAGCAGAAUUUUCCUCCUCCUUCACACCAUUCUUCAUCCUCAUAACCCCUGCUGUAAAUCCACCAUAAAAGAUUAGAAAGUGAGUUGCCAUCAUCAUGACCAUUCAAGUUUCUGAUCUUCAUCAAGGCACUUUCUUUGUCAUAGAUUGCUUCCAAGGCAUAGACAAAUCCUUUCCACCCUUCUCCCACUCCUUCUCUUCCUAAAGCUGGUAAUGUCCAAUUCACAAGCUCCCUCACAAAGCUCACAUCAGAAAACAAAACCUCACUGAUAGGCAACAAGGGCAAUAAUUGAAUUCCAAGCCUACACUCUUUCCAUUCAGCAGGUGCAAACCAAAGCCCACUAUCCCUCUUGUUAGCCCACAAAACACCCAGCACCCUAUUCUCUCUAGUGAAAUCUUCCUCGUAAAAAUUAUCACCCUCUCUAACAUGCCACCAUGUUUGUGCUGCAUGAAUCUCCAUUGCAGUAAGCAUUGAUCCAAUGGCCACAAGAUGGGUGUCUCCAUAGGCUAAUCCCAUCAAAGCUGCUGAAUAGUAUGCAUUCACUGCCUCACUUGUGCUCUCCUGGUUCCGUCCAUCGGCAAAUUCAGUUAGGCCUCCAGCCCAAGAGUGUAAUUUAUACAAAUCAAAGCACCUCAAACGUGGAUAAUAUGAAUUUGACCGCCUGCCCAAGUUCAUAAAAUCAGCCAUAAGAGUAUAAGCUUGUGGCCUAAACUUCCUCCCCCACAAUGGGUCAAAUUUUGCAAGAACAGCAAUGCCAUAAAGAAAGUAGCCUAUAUGAUAAUGGUGAUCAUUAUAAACUCCAAAUCCAAAAUCUGCACCAGAAUCACUCGAACCUUGUUUGGUGACAAUUCCACCCCAUUUAUCAUCAUACAGAAAACCAUUGGCACCAAAUGUACCCUCCAACCAUGGCUCAAUUGUUUCCUUCAAGUACUUCCUUAUCAUCGGAAUCACAUCAAGAAAACCCACCUCCUCAGCUAUCAAAGCCAACCUUGCUGCUCUUGCAACCAAUUUCCCAUAAAAAUAAGAUGACGUUGUUGUUAUAGCUGAUGCAUUCAAACCCUCAACAUCCUUACAAAGUGCAGACACAAUUUCAGCACAUGAUUCCUCUUUGAUUCCCUUGAUUGAAUGCCAAGUUACUGAAAUAGGAUCAGAUUUCAACACCCAGGAAUCUCCAACAACACCAACAAGAUCACCAUCAAUACUUUUAUACUUAAAAUCAUUUAAAACAAUAACGUUUUCAUCCGAUAAAAGCUUGACAUGUAAAGGAUGUGCAAGCAUAAGCAAAUCCCCCCACCCUUUCUUUUCCCAUUUAUACUCUAAACAAAAUGGUUUAGUGAAGACUGCAUCACCUGAUACCGCAUAGCACGAACUGAACCGAUCAAGAAUUGCUUCAUAUUUUGGGUCACAAUCCGGCAAUAUUGCAACCCUUAUCAUGCCGGAAAACCCAUCAGAAGUAAUGGAAGAAAGGCUGUGACUCAAAUUUAUCUGCGAAGAGGAAUAUAUAAGCCAUGUUUGACCGUUAUUAAGCGUAACGGUGUACUUGGUGAGUGAAUUAUUCGAAGAGAAUGAAAGAAUGGCGUGGAUUGUUGAUAUAGAAAUUGCUGUAUUGCCAGUUAUAGAACAUGUCAAAAAGGGGCUUCCUCUGACAAGAAAAAAACGAAAAUUUGAAAAGGGUAUAUCCAAAGUGACACUGAGAUCACUAUAAGAAGAGAUGAUAUGACUUUUUUGUGAACCUGGGUAAGUUUUAUUUGAUGCAGAGAUGGUGAGAUCAGGAACAAAAAUCUGGUACGUGAAAGCAGAAUUAUGAAAAAUAGAUGGGUAAGAGAUAGAAAGGGAAGAGUCAGAAGAUUUGAUAAGAUAAGGGUGGAUAUAUUCAGGUUGGUCACCAUUUUUAAGGGCAAAGUUCUGAAAGAAAGAGUUUGUGGGCAAUGGGGAGGAGAGGAGGGAAGGAGAAUAGAAGAGAGAAGGAUCAGGGAGGACAGAGGAUUGGGCUUUAGGGAAGAGAAAAGGAAAAGUUGGAGGCCUGGGGUGGGACUGGGGAGUCAUGGUUGAAGCUGGAGGAGGCGAAGCAGGCGGCGGUGAUGGAGAGGGACUUGGCGAGGGGGAUUUAUAAGAUUGGUGUUCGCGAGGUUUUUUGAAGGACUUGGUGACUAAGGUUUUAAGUCGUUUGACCCGUCUGCCCAGUUUUUUCAGCAUUUUCUUCAGUGGGGACGUGGAUUUGGGUGAAUUUUUUUUUUUAUUAAGAUAAUAAUUAUUAGUUGAGAUUUCGUACAGAGGAAAGAGCAAGGAAAUGGAGGAAUUUGACUAGUUUGUUAAUUAUGAAUUUCCGUCCCCAGAUUGGAACGGGAGGGGGAAGAUCCAGCGCUUUGUGGGGUUUGGGACCUGGCUUCAAGGUUCUGUUGAAGAAAUGGAAAAUGGAGGACAUAAAAAGUAGGUUGGAUUGGAAGUGAAGUUGUGAAGGAUUUGAAGUCGGGAUUUUAAGGUAUGUGAUGAUUGCAAGAUACUUGAG